CGUCCAUGUAUUGAAGUCCCACCUCUCAUCGCAUAAUAAUAGCUUGUGAAGAACAACGCUUGUCUUUAAUUAGCCAUUUGUCAGAGCUCUUCCUCCCUCCUCAAAGGGCAAGGUGCUGCUGGCACACCUGCUUCGGCUUUUCUUUAUCUUUUUUUUUGAAUGCUGAAGUUUUUUGCAACGUACUGCAGGUAGCAAACAGCAGUGCCACGACAAACAGUGGAGUGCUGACCAUGCAGUCCAGAAGGUGGCUGAGGCAAGUAUGCUAUAGGAGGUGCUUAUUCAGGCAGAAGAAAUAAGCAUCUGCAGCCAACGUAAAGGAAGCAUCUUCAAAAAGCAGUGCUACAAGGAUGUGAGCAGCAGUUUCCCUUCAACGAACGGGUCAAAUUCAUGGAAGCCACGUGCCUGCUGCUUCUGGCCUACACAAAUAUGCAGCCACCAUAGUAAAGUUCUUGCAAAGACAUUCUACUCAAACUUGCCCAAAGGCGGAAGGAAGGCACGCACUGAUGGACGCACAGAAAUCAUGGGGCUGCCGUAGAAGCUGUGAAUGAGCAUUAACCUACGUACAGAAAGGAGCGAAGUGGAGCUGUCCAUGGGCCGUGCACACAGUUUCAUAAGCAGGCUUGCAACACUUUUGACAAAUAUGUUCCUGAAUACAUCUGCCAAAGUGGCAUUUAAAGAAGCAUGUAGUAGUGUACUUCACUG